rnacentral:misc_RNA from 1 species
GAUGAAGAACGCAGUGAAAUGCGAUAAGUAGUGUGAAUUGCAGAAUUCAGUGAAUCAUCGAAUCUUUGAACGCACAUUGCGCCCCUUGGUAUUCCAUGGGGCAUGCCUGUUCGAGCGUCAUUUGUACCUUCAAGCUCUGCUUGGUGUUGGGUGUUUGUCUCGCCUCUGCGUGUAGACUCGCCUCAAAACAAUUGGCAGCCGGCGUAUUGAUUUCGGAGCGCAGUACAUCUCGCGCUUUGCACUCAUAACGACGACGUCCAAAAGUACAUUUUUACACUCUUGACCUCGGAUCAGGUAGGGAUACCCGCUGAACUUAAGCAUAUCAAUAGCGGAGGA